GCUCCUGUAGUUCAGUCUGGAUAGAACACAGCCUUGCGGAGGCUGCGACCCAGGUUCAAAUCCUGGCAGGAGCA
rnacentral:tRNA from 1 species